rnacentral:rRNA from 1 species
UACAGAGGUCUCAAGCGUUGCUCGGAAUUACUGGGCGUAAAGGGCGCGUAGGCGGGAUGGCAAGUCGGUCGUGAAAUCCUUCGGCUCAACCGAAGAACGUCGAUCGAUACUGCUGUUCUUGAGGGUUGCAGAGGAGACUGGAAUUCCCGGUGUAGCGGUGAAAUGUGUAGAGAUCGGGAGGAACACCGGUGGCGAAGGCGGGUCUCUGGGCAAUUCCUGACGCUGAGGCGCGAAAGCGUGGGGAGCAAACGGG